rnacentral:rRNA from 1 species
UACAGAGGGUGCAAACGUUGCUCGGAAUUAUUGGGCGUAAAGCGCGUGCAGGCGGCUUGUUAAGUUGGUUGUGAAAACCCAUGGCUCAACCAUGGAAGGGCGUCCAAAACUGGCAAGCUAGAGUCCCGACGAGGAUGGCGGAAUUCCCAGUGUAGAGGUGAAAUUCGUAGAUAUUGGGAGGAACACCGGUGGCGAAGGCGGCCAUCUGGGAGGGCACUGACGCUGAGACGCGAAAGCGUGGGGAGCAAACAGG